CUCCUCCCUGCCCCCGUACCACCUCCGCGCCUGCGCACCUACACUCUUCCGCCGCGACCAGUCGCGUCAGCGCGCGAGGGGGCCUAGCUCCGCCCAGUUCCGUGCCCCACCCCGGGCACACGAGGCCUCUACUGCGGUUGCGCGGUCGGUUUAAGAGCGUGCGGCUUCCACUGCGGUUGCGUAAACUCAGCGCGCGCACUCCAGUCUGCUUACGAGGGCGCCUCCCUCCAGCUUUGGUCCCUUGGGGCGCCUGGGCAGCCUACGCUUUCCGAAUAUGGAAAUGAUAUUAGACAAAAAGCAACUUCAAGCGAUUUUCUUACUUGAGUUCAAAAUGGGUCAUAAAGUAGCAGAGACAACUCGAAACAGCGGCGCAUUUGGCCCAGAAACUACUAAUGAACGUACAGGGCAGUGGUGAUUCAAGAAGUUUUGCAAAGGAGAUGAGAGCCUUGAAUAUGAGGAACACAGAGGCGGCCAGCCUUUGGAAGUUGACAGUGACUAAUUGAGAGCAGUCUUUGAAGCUGAUCCUCUUAGAACUAGGAAGUUGCCUGAGAAACCAAAGUCAACCAUUCUAUGCUUGGCAUUUGAGGAGAAUUCGAAAGAUGAGAAACAGCAACAAACCAUUUCUCAAUCAGAUUGCGACGUGCAACCAAAAGUGGAUUUUAUAUGACAGGCAGUGAUGACCAGCUAAGUGGUUGGACUGAGAAGCUCCAAAGCAAAAGGUUAUGAUCACUCAUUGGUGAUACGUUGCUGGUCUGAUCCACUACAGCUUUCUGAAUCCUGGUGAAACCAUUACAUAAGAGAAGUACACUCAGCAAAUCUGUGAGGUUUGCCGAAACCUGCAACACCUGCAGCUGGCAAUUGGUCCACAGAAAGGGCCCAAUUCUUUGAGUGACACCCAGGCUGGAGUGCAGUUUCUCAGUUUCAGCUCACUGCAACCUCCACCUCCCAGGUUCAAGCAGUUCUCCUACCUCACCCUCCCGAAUAGAUCGGAUUACAAGCACCUGCCACCACACCUUGCUAAUUUUUGUAUUUUUAGUAGAGACAGGGUUUUACCAUAUUGGCCAGGCUGGUCUCAACCUCCUGACCUCAAGUGAUCCACCCACCUGAGCCUCCCAAAGUGCUGGGAUUACAGGCGUGAGCCACCGCACCUGGCAGGUCCCAAUUCUCCAUGACAGUGCCCAACUGCAGGUUGCACAACCAGUGCUUCAGGAGUUGAAGGAAUUGGUCUAUGAGGUUUUGCCUCCUCUACCAGAUUGACCUGACUUCUUGCCAACCAACUACCACUUCUUAAAGCAUCUUGAUGGUUUUUUGUGGGUGAAAUACUUCCACACCAGCAGGAUGCAGAAAAUGCUUUCCAAGAGUUUGUUGAAUCCUGAAGCACGGAUUUUUAUGCUGCAGAAAUAAAUUUAUUUUUCCGCAAAAAUGUGUUGAUUGUAAUGGCUCCUGUUUUGAUUAAUCAAGAUGUGUUUGGCCUAGUUAUAAUAAUUUAAAAUUAAUGGUCUGAGAACACAAUUACUUUUGUACCACCACCAACAGACACACCCCCACACAUUCCGGAUUUGAAUUUCGCGUUGAUUACCUGCACUUGGAAUAUUUUCUUUACAUCUGUGGAUUGUUCUGUCGCUUUUUUUUUUUUUUUUUUUUUUAAAUAAAUGGGUUUCUGAACCUCUGCUGUAUUGACAUUUUGGGUCAGAUUAUUCUUUGUGUAGAGGCUGUUCUAUGCCUUGUAAAAUGUUUAGCAUCCUCUCUGGCCUCUGUUGGCUAGGUACCAGUAGUACCCGUACAAUCAUGACAGUUGGGAAUGUUUUCAGACAUUGCCCAGUUUCCCCUGGUUGGGGAACGGUACACAAUUGCCCUUAGUUGAGAACCACUCGUUGUAGUGACUUUGUUGUGCAGUUACCCUACAUUUAUUUGUUUUCUUGUAUGCCAGACAAGCCUUAAGUGUUUCAUAAGAACUAAUCCUAACUCAUUUACUCAUCACAUGUUGUAGAUAUUACUGUUCCUAUUUUAAAGAGGAGAAAUCUUAUGUCCUCUAAUGUGCAGAAGAUGUUAACUUUACCAGGCUAUAACUGAAAUAUAAAAUGCACCUAUUUUAAGUGUCCGGUUGUAGAGUUUUCUCAAAGGUAUACUGAGACUUCUCUAGAGUUUCAUAUUAUUUAUCACAUAGUACUUUUUCUUACCUUCUUUGAGCAUAAUGGUUCUGAGAUUUAUAAAUGUGUAUCAUUCAGUCCUUUUCAUUGCUCAGUGGCAUUCCUUUGUGUGGACAUAACCAGAAAUUGUUGAUCCAUUUACUUAUUGAUGAAUUUUUUUGUUCUGUAGUUUUUGAUCAUGAUAAAUUUGCUAUGACUAGAUGUACAUAAGUCUUUGCAGAUACAUGUUUUCAUUUCUCUUGGAUUAUCACGUAAGUGUAUGUUUAACUCUGGGAGAAAUGGCCAAACAACGUACAAAGUGGUAGUACCAUUUUACAUUCCCAGCAGCAAUAUAAGAGAAUCCAGGCCGGGCACGGUGGCUCAAGCCUGUAAUCCCAGCACUUUGGGAGGCCGAGGCAGGGGGAUCACGAGGUCAAGAGAUCGAGACCAUCCUGGUCAACAUGGUGAAACCCCGUCUCUGCUAAAAAUACAAAAAAUUAGCUGGGCAUGGUGGCACGUGCCUGUAAUCCCAGCUACUCAGGAGGCUGAGGCAGGAGAAUUGCCUGAACCCAGGAGGCGGAGGUUGCGGUGAGCCGAGAUCGCACCAUUGCAGUCCAGCCUGGGUAACGAGUGAGACUCUGUCUCAAAAAAAAAAAAAAAAAAAAAUCCAGUUACUCCACAUCCACAAACGUGUUUUAGCCACUCUAGUAGAAAUGUGGUAGCGCAUUGUAGUAAACUUGCAGUUCUCUGAAAACUGAUGAUGUUGAGCACUUUUUCAUGUGCUCAUUGGUCAUUUGUACAUCUUUUGUCAAGUGACCGUUCAACUCUUGACCAUUUUCAAAUUGUUCUUUUUCUGUUUUUGAGUUGGAAGAGUUACUAGAAUAUCCAUAAGUCCUUUUCUCAGAUGUUUGUGUUAUGAGUACUUUCUCCCAGUCAGCUGCUUGCCUUUUCAUUUUAGUGGUAUAUUUCAAACAGCAGAAAUUUUGAAGUCUAGUUUUUCAUUUAUGGUUCAUGUUUUUGUGUUCUCCCUGAGAAAUCUUUGCCUGACCCAGAGGCACAAAGAUUUUUAUUUUACUAUGUUUUUUUCCAGAAGGUUUAAAGUUUUGGCUCUCACAUUCAGGUCUGUGAGUAACUUCAGAUAAGUUUUGGCGUAUAUAUGAGAUAAAAAGUUCAAUUUUUUUUUUGCAUAUGUAUAUCCAGUUGUAGCCCUGGUUAUUAAAAAGACAUUUCCUUUACUCAUUUGUUAAAAGUCGGCUGACUAUAUGUAUGCGGGUCUGUUUCGGGAAGGUGUUCUAUUCCGAUCGUCAAUAUGUUUAUGUAAUACCACACUGCUUUGAUUACCAUAGCUAUGUAGGAAGUCUUGAAAUCAAGUGGUUUAUUUCCUCUAGUUUCUACAUUUUCUUUCUUUCUUUUCUUUUUUUUGGUUUCCUAGUUUAUAAAAAUGUUAUGUGUUUCUUUUUUUAUCGUAUUUUAGGUUUUUUACAUUUUCAAAAUUGUUUUGGCACUCCUGAGAUUUGAUUUCAUUCAUUUGUUUAAAAAAGCCUGGUGGAAUUUUUAUGGGACUUUCAAUCUAUAGAACAAUCAGGAAAAACUGACAUCUUAACAAUAUUGAAUCUUUAUAAAUGAUGUAUCUCUUCAUUUAUUUAGAUCUUCAGUGUUUCUUGGCUCUCAGCAGCAUUUUGUAGCUUACAGGUUUUGCAAAUAUUUUUCUUUAUUAAGUAUUGUGUGUGUGUGUUUUAAAACAAUUGUUAUUUUUAAUUUUUCAAGUAUUGAUAAUAUAUAUAGACUUGAUUCCUGUUUAUUCUCCUUGCUGGACUCAUAGGAGUGUUUUGUGUAUUUUAUAAGGUUUUCUAUGUAACAGUCUCUGAAUAAAGACAGUUUCACGUUUUUUUGCAAUCUUUAUAAUUUUAAUUUUUCCUUUGGCAAUGGUUAACACUAAUACUGUUGAUAUAAGUUGUGAAAUAAGUUUAUUGAUCUUAUUUCCCUCCAGCCCAUGUGUAGAAAGUUUAUUAAUUGUAUAGAUCUUUUUACAACAUUCUUUGAUUUUUCUGUUUUCUAUUUAAUUUUUACCUUUUAUUACUUACCUCUGCCAAGUUUUAGUUUAAUUUUUUCUAUUCUGAGCUUUAAGGUGAAAGCCCAUAUCAUUGCUUUUAGACUUUCUUUUCAAAUAUAAGCAUUUAAAGCUUUAUCUCUAAGUUCUGGUUUAGCUGCAUUCGUAUUUGAAUGUUUUUUGUUGUCAUUCAAAGUAUUUUCUAACUUCUUUUUAACUGUGGACUAUUUAGAAGUAUAUUAAUUACCAAGUAUUUCAGUACUCUCCACAUUUUUGUUUUAAUUUUCAAUUUAAUUUGGUUACAGUCCAAGAAUAUACUCGAUGAGCUUAAUCAUUUCAAAUGUAUUGACACUUAUAGCCUAGGUUUUUGUUUUUACUUUGCGUAUUUUGAGGUUUCGUUAGUAGAUGCCUACACCUUUAAACUUUUAUGUCUUCUUGAUGAGUUAUCCUCACAAUAAUUGUGAAAUGCCUCUCUUUAUCCUUGAUAACAUUCCUUGUUCUGAAGCCUACUUAGCCAGAUAGUAAUGUAGACUUUCAGCUUUCUUAUGAUUUGUGUUUGCAUAGUCGGUAUCUUGUUAUUCCUUUUAACCUUUUUGUCAUUGUAGUAAUUUGUACACAGCAUAUAAUUGGGUCUUGCUUUUUUUUUUUUUUGGAGACGGAGUCUCACACUGUUCCCCAGGCUGGAGUGCAAUGGUGGGAUCUCGGCUCACUGCAACCUCUGCUUCCCGGGUUCAAGUGAUUCCCCUGCCUCAGCCGCCCAAGUAACUGGGAUUACAGGAGUCCACCCCAAUACCCGGCUAAUUUUUUGUAUUUUGAGUAGAGACGGGGGUUUCACUGUUUUAUCCACAUUGGUCUCAAACUCCUGACCUUGUGGUCCACCUGCCUCGGCCUCCCAAAGUGCUGGGAUUACAGGUGUGAGCCACCACACCUGGCCUGUGUCUUGCUUUUUAAUCCCGUCUGAUACUCUCUACCUUUUAAGUGGAAUGUUAGGUCAUUUAUAUUUAAUACAGUUAUAAAAUGGUUGAGUUAAACACAAGUUUUUUUUUUUUUUUUUAUGUCUACUGUAGAAUUUGUAAGGUGUAUCUGUAACUUAUCACAGUCUGCCAUUAACCCUUUUCUUAGAGAAAAAAAGUAUGGCCGGGUGUGGUGGCUCAUGGCUGUAAUCCAGCACCUUGGGGUCAGAGGCAGGCAGACCACAAGGUCAGGAUAUUGAGACUAGCCUGGCCAAUAUGGUGAAACCCCAUCUCUACUAAAAAUACAAAAAUUAGCCAGGCGUGAUGGUGGGCACCUGUAAUCCCAGUUACUUGGGCGGCUGAGGCAGGGGAAUCACUUGAACCCGGGAAGCAGAGGUUGCAGUGAGCCGAGAUCCCACCAUUGCACUCCAGCCUGGGGAACAGAGAAAAACUCCGUCUUGGGAAAAAAAUGUGCAACUCUUUUCCAGCACCCAUUUAAUUUUACAUACACAUGCUCUUUGCGGCUGAAGCAAAUCUAACUGAUUUCCAAUGUGAAAAUAAAAUAUAAAAACUG